rnacentral:pre_miRNA from 1 species
AACCCGUAGAUCCGAACUUGUGUCCUUUGUAGACCUCCCACAAGCUCGCCUCUACGGGUCU